CUGACUCUCUAUUUCAGUGGAAAUUGUAAUAGAAAUAUCACAGCAGUCUUCAUCUGAGAUGUUAGAAUUCUUGUUAACUUCAUCAGUACCUGAAGCUUGAGUUCAUUUAAAAAAAUUUCUCUCCACUAAAUACUGCUUGCCACAUUAAUUCCUUGUGCAUCUGCAUUGGCUGGGAGUUACAGAUGAAUGAAUGAAGUUGACCUGUGUACAUCCCUGCACUUAAUAAUGUAUCCUUUUUGGACUUUUCCCCCAGCUGUGUACAAGAUUCCACUGGAAUAGGGAAAGAGAUCCACCUUUAUCAGAUGAGGGGGGGAGAUCUUCACUGGGGAUAACAGAACCUUGAAGAGAUCGGAUCAGUGGAAGUGGCAUUGAGGUCUUCUGGAGGACAGUUUGGAAAUAUCAGGAGAACCUGCAACAGAAGAAGCUAUUCUUAGACUAAAGCCUCUGUGAACAUGAAGACCUGGAGAGGCAAAUUUACAGCUUGAGUGGUGGGAUACGGAGUAAAUGAAAUGUGUAAGCAGAAGAAAGUUUGUCACUUGUUUGAUUCUUCCUUUUACACUGCUCUGUAUGAGCUUAAGAAAGGAAGAAGUCUUGAUGUAUGUUCUAGCUUUCAUAUAGUCAUUAAAACUUGUUUUGAGGAGUGUUUUAUUUUAACGUGUGAUCUGGUCAGAUGAAAAAAAGACAAAACAUCACUGAAAGCUGGAAAC